UAUGUUAUGAUAUGUUAUGUU
rnacentral:piRNA from 1 species